CUCCAGAUCUCAGGUGGUUGUACGUCACCGUGCCUGUGAUGCUUUUAACGGCGCUUCUUGUCGUCGUUGUGAUCGUCAUCAGACGCAAGAGAACCAAAGGGAACGAAACUCAGAGGAACGACGACGCUACGGAUCCUGAAGAGGGAGUUUCCUACGCUUCCAUCAGAUACGCCAAGAAGGAGAAGAGGAAAGCUCAGGCUCGGGGUAAAGUUGAUGAUGGUGAUGAUGAGGACGGAGCAGUGACCUACGC